GGUGAAGAGCCAUUUGGGUUGAGCAUCAGUGAAAGACAAUGACAUACCCAGUAACCACAUGAUCCUGCCUUCCAACUAAUUGACAUGAUUAAUUACUUCAGCUCAUAUAAGUUCAAGAACAAUAUGUCCUACCAUUUUCUUAUGCAUGGAACAAAGGAUCUCAUAGAAUCAAUUGCAUAAGAAUGGAUUGUCCUUAUGAUGAUUUGUGUCUGGAACACUAUCCAUUAGGACUAAAACAUACCCCAUACACAAACUUUGUGCCCAUUUACGUAAGAACUAUAAGAGAAAACAAGCUAAUUAUAUCUCAAAUUUCAGUGUUGAAGAGGCAUUUGUUAGGCUGUUGAUUGACAAUAGCAG
rnacentral:lncRNA from 1 species